AUGAAGGUCAGGCUCCAGGUGCGGCGCAUGUGGGAGGCAGUCCAGGACAGCAACGUCGACCACCUAGAGGAUCGACGGGCACUGGACGCCCUCAUCGCCGCAGUCCCGCCCGAGAUGCAGUUCUCGCUUUCCAACAAGCGGACUGCCAAGGAGGCUUGGGACGCCAUCGCCGCAGCACGCAUCGGCAGCGACCGUGCUCGCAAGUCCACCCUGCAGGCACUUCGUAAGGAGUGGGAGAACCUGGGCUUCAAGCCAGGUGAGGACGUUGAUGACUUUGCUCUCCGUCUCAACACUCUGCUGCAGAAGAUGGUGAAGUUUGGCGAUGCCACCUACACCGAGGAGAGAGUUGUCGAGAAGCUUUUUCGGUGCAUU
rnacentral:rRNA from 1 species